UUUUAAAAUAUAGAGCUUGAAUCCUAACUAACAGGUUGGUGUAAUAAAAUGAUGUUAACAUUAUAUGUGGUUAUAAUUAAGAUUAUUUUUUGUUUGCCUAAAUAUAUUUAGUUGAUGGGUUCCAUCCCCAACAACUAUUUGGUGCAGUCUGAGUAGUCUUGUGUGCAUAUUUCAAUGUUCCUUUCACUUGAAGAGACAACCAAAUGAAGCAAUGCCUCCCCACUUCAAAAAACUUCAAAUGAAAACUUUGUGCCUUUGAGUUUGCUAGUAUCCAUCGUACAACUGUUGGCUUCCACCUUCAUUCAAAGAAAAAGCAACCAAAAACAAAUGCCUCCUUAUUUAUUUAUACAUUGUAGUUUUCUUCUUUCUUGAAUCCCUCUAAAAGCAUAACUCACUGAUCGGUAUCCAAAAUCAGAAAAUUAGAUUCAGUUCACAGUUGAGGGUUUGAUGAAAUGGGGUCUUUAGAAAGAUCAAAGAAGAAGGUUCAGUUAUGGAAGAAAGCUGUUGUUCAUUUUGCUUUGUGUUUCGUGAUGGGGUUCUUCACAGGCUUUGCUCCUACUGCUACUGGUAAAGAUUCAAUCUUUUCUACUCGAAUUAUUUCCUCAAACAAGUCACACUUCUCUCCACAACCCAUCGAUACGUUUCACCUAGCAGUGACACCACAGGCACAGGCUCCCAAAAAUGUCAGUUUUGUAGCUGAGACUCCCAUGCAAAUUCCAGCAAGUUCUGCAGAAUCUGAACGAGCGAAGUUCCUGGAAA
rnacentral:misc_RNA from 1 species